UCCUACUCCUGCUUAUAUGGUCAGUGCCUCCUCUGACCUUAACCACUACACAUACUGCCUCAAGAGAUUUGUCUCAUAAAGACUGAGGGCCCUGCAGAAGGGGAUCUGGUUAAACCAGUGAUCUUGUUGGUUGAAUAGAUAUGAUGCCACAGGCUGCUGUGAUGGUCACCAAUUAAUGUGACUGUACCACUGUUAUCUUUUAAUUUAUAUACAUAAUUCAAUAGCAGCCAAAAGUUUCAACAAAAGAUGCACUUAAUUAUAUGUUGUAUAAAAAUCACAUGAUUUGUGCAUUAUUUGCACAAAUUGCUAAGUUGUAUGCAAUCAGGUGUUUUCUACCAUGAGAUGAAUUAGAAUUCAGAAAACAAAUUAGUACUAAUACGGCAACUUGUAAAUAAAAACAAAGAAACUCAUAUUUCGACAGAUGGUAUACAUGAAAAUUUAAUUUUUUUAAUUUAAGGGAGCCAAAAACAAACUUUGAUAGCAAGUUCUUAUAUAUCUUAUACAAUAUUACAUAUAUUAUGUUAAAUAUAUUUUUAGGAUUUAUGGUUGUUAUAUAUUUCAUUUAUCCAGGGUUUGCCCUUGGCAGGCUUUCCAGUACUAUUUGCCUAUAUGCUAAAAGAUAAAGCCAAAUUAUAAUUUAUUUCUCCUUUUCCCUCAUGAUUCUACUGUAUAUGAAGAAUAUUACACAGAUCUACUAACUUCUGGGUUCUUAAAAAAAUGUUAUAUCCUGGGACGCCUGGGUGGCUCAGCAGUUGAGUGUCUGACUUUGGCUCAGGUCAUGAUCCCAGGGUCUUGGGAUCAAGUCCCGCAUCAGGCUUCCUGCGGGGAGCCUGCUUCUCCCUCUGCCUAUGUCUCUGGCUCUCUCUCUGCGUCUCCUGAAUAAAUAAAUAAAACCUUUAAAAAAAUGUUAUAUCCAAAACCAGAAAAUGUCUAUCUAAUUACAUGCAUUGUAACAUUAUAAGACAUACACACACUAUAAUGAUUUGUCUGGACCCUGUCCAUGUGACUCUUCCAUCCAACUCCUGCUUAUACAGUCUUCCACUGACCGUGGCAUUUCCAUUUCCUAGUAACUAAUUUGUGCCUUAUUCCUUGGUGACUUCUUGUUUCCCAAGGUUUCCACGCAGCGCUCCUGACACAGGGAUUGGAGUUUUAACUCCUAAACCUCAUUCUUCCCAUGACUGGUUGCACAGUACUAGUAACAAUCAUCCAAUCACCUGCCUCCUGGCAUGAUGGGACACUUGAACACUUGAAUCUGUGUUCACAACCUGCUCAGAUUAUAUCUAAGUAGGGAUCCCUGGGUGGCGCAGCGGUUUGGCGCCUGCCUUUGGCCCAGGGCGCGAUCCUGGAGACCCGGGAUCGAAUCCCGCAUCGGGCUCCCGGUGCAUGGAGCCUGCUUCUCCCUCUGCCUGUGUCUCUGCCUCUCUCUCUCUCUCUCUGUGACUAUCAUAAAUAAAUAAAAAUUAAAAAAAAAGAAAAAAAAAGAUUAUAUCUAAGUAGAUACCCUGAGUUUUGAGCUUAGUUUGGAAUUUGGAAUAAUGGGAACUUCCUUCUACCCGUCAGUUCUUUGCCCUUGAGAUUAGCUGUACCACUUUUGGAAUCAUAUAAGGCUCCAGUAGCAUUGGGUUGGGUUCUUCUGAACCCUCUGUCCUUGGUUUGCAGGUGGCUGCCUCUUGCUGCAUCCUCAUACAGUCUUUACUCUGUGCACCAGUGUCCCUGGUGUCUCCUCUUACAUGGAUACUAGUCAGAUUGGUGGGACCCAUCCUUAUGGCCUUAUUUUAACUUAGUCUCUUCUUUUAAGGCUCUGUCUCCAGACGCAGUCAUAUUCUUAGGCAUUAGUGGUUAGAACUUCAACAUAUGAAUAGGGAGUGGGGCACAACUCAGCCCAUAAGACAAAGUCAUCAAUCAAAUGGCCAUUUGGCCAUUCUGGUUACUUCCUUCUCUGAGUCAACCCUGUUAUCAACAAUGAUUGGCCUAAUUAAUCCAAUGAGAUCCUACCCCAACAUCUGUAUCUACACUUUCUACAGUCUCAGGAUAGGUAGCUAAAACCUGCUAAAUGGAUAAGUGACCACAUUACCAUGAGGCUCCAAGCAUCGUCAACUGAAAAAGGCACUGAAUUGCCCCAAUAACCUACCUCCUACCUGAAAGGAAGCAAAGCCUUCUACCAGGUGACCCCAGGAAAUCAUGGUCCUCCUCAGCCUAUGAAAAGAAAUUUGGGGAGAAGCCUGACCUGAUUCUGGUCUUGAACAAUCUCAUCCACAUCCAUCAGCAAAAGCACAUCCCUUUUCAGUGCUGUAGGGGUUCUCAUUAAAUGCGAUCGAAAUUCUCAUUUAAUUGGAAUAGAACCUGGGCACUAUAUGUAUAGUUUCCCAUGGGUCAUUGCCUUUCUACACAUUUUGCAAGCAGAGUUUAUGUUCUGGACUAUUUUUUCAAGGAUCCUCAUAGAGUAAAUAGCCUUAGAAGAUACAGUGUCUCCCUCUAAAGCAGAUGACAGAUUCGUUUCUGUCCACUUUCGUAACAAUAACGUCUCUUGCAAAGGAGAAAAGAAUGGGCCAAUUUGGUUGUAACCCAUAAUAAAGAUUGACUUUUAUUGAUUUCUUAAACUCGGGUUCCUCAGCAGGGACACAGCCCAGUGCCUCCACAUUCUCCACCUGGAUUACUCUGCUCUGCUCCCUUAGUAUUUGCAAGCAAGGGAUAUUGGUACAAACAUGAAGACUCCUGACCCAGUCUCUUAUCUUCUCCUGGCAUCCAUAAAACAGCGGCAGUUUAAUUUGUCAAGCUGCCAAUAGAGUAAAACCUCAGACCCUUCACAGUUCUUUUAUUGGCAUCAGCAUUUUACAAGGUCACCAGGUGAUUCUGAUGGGUAGCCCUGUGAGAAUCAUGGUCUUCAAGGAAUUUCUACUGAUUCUGUUUUUGUUUGAUGGCUUUCCUGAGCUUUCUUUCAUUGUAUUGCCUAAUCAUCACCAUGGUUCUCUUCUUAGAUUCUAGUUCCUGGCUCUCUGCCCCGAGAUUGCUUCAGACAGUGCCUUUAUUUCCCAAGCCUAUUUUUACCCAAGCUGUCCUUGCUUCCUCUUUGUUGCAUGCCGCAGAACCACCGGCCAUCCUCACACUACCUUCAAUCCCUUCACCACAGGCCUUCUUCUGAUCCCUACGUGAAGGAAAGGCAGUUGGACUCCCAAGAAUCAAAGGAAUUGGAUUUCCUUCUCAUGCAGAAGCCGCGUGAUCUUGACCUGUUGCUGUUUGACCCGGGUCUCGAGCAGGUGCACUUGGGCUCUGAGCCGCGCCUGCUCCUGGAGACAGUUCUCAAGAGCCUGCAAAGUGAUGUGCAUCUCAUUCUCAUUGGGAAAUAAAUGCUCCUAACCAGUUGGACAAA